rnacentral:rRNA from 1 species
AAACAUUUCCUCUAGUACACAAGAUUAGAGGUAAGCCCUGCCCGGUGACCUANCGGGUUAAACGGCUGCGGUACCCUGACCGUGCGAAGGUAGCAUAAUCAUUUGCCGUUUAAUUGGCGGCUAGUAUGAAUGGGUUUACGCGGGAGCUACUGUCUCGUCCAUGAGGAUAAAAAUUAGUUUCUAGGUGCAUAGACCUAGAUGAAAAUAGGGGACAAAAAGACCCUAUGGAGCUUUACCGUGAAGUUGCAGUUUCAUUAACUAAUUGGAUUAGUGGAACUGAAACAUAGUGGUUUGAUUGGGGCAAUCAAGGAGUAAUCCUAAACUUCCUUUUAGUUGUAAUGUUAUAAAGACUUGUCUGUCUUUUAGUGAGCGCAGUAUGUUGUAUUAAGAGAAUAAGCUACCCUAGGGAUAACAGGCCAAUCCUUUUUGAGAGUUCAUAUUGACAAAAGGGCAUGGCACCUCGAUGUUGGCUCAGGGUAUCCCGAUGGGGUUGCAGAAGCUAUUAAUGGUGGGUUUGUUCACCCCUUAAAACCCCUACGUGAUCUGAG